rnacentral:rRNA from 1 species
ACGAACGCUGCCGGCGUGCUUAACACAUGCAAGUCGAACGGAAAGGCCCUGCUUUUGUGGGGUGCUCGAGUGGCGAACGGGUGAGUAACACGUGAGUAACCUGCCCUUGACUUUGGGAUAACUUCAGGAAACUGGGGCUAAUACCGGAUAGGAGCUCCUGCUGCAUGGUGGGGGUUGGAAAGUUUCGGCGGUUGGGGAUGGACUCGCGGCUUAUCAGCUUGUUGGUGGGGUAGUGGCUUACCAAGGCUUUGACGGGUAGCCGGCCUGAGAGGGUGACCGGCCACAUUGGGACUGAGAUACGGCCCAGACUCCUACGGGAGGCAGCAGUGGGGAAUAUUGCACAAUGGGCGGAAGCCUGAUGCAGCAACGCCGCGUGCGGGAUGACGGCCUUCGGGUUGUAAACCGCUUUCGCCUGUGACGAAGCGUGAGUGACGGUAAUGGGUAAAGAAGCACCGGCUAACUACGUG